UACGUAGGGGGCGAGCGUUGUCCGGAUUUAUUGGGCGUAAAGAGCGUGUAGGCGGCCAGGUAGGUCUGCUGUGAAAACUCGAGGCUCAACCUCGAGACGUCGGCGGAAACCAUCUGGCUAGAGUCCGGAAGAGGAGAGUGGAAUUCCCGGUGUAGCGGUGGAAUGCGUAGAGAUCGGGAAGAACAUCGGUGGCGAAGGCGGCCUGCUGGGCUGUUGCUGACACUGAGGCGCGACAGCGUGGGGAGCAAACAGG
rnacentral:rRNA from 1 species